CCACACCAGUGCCAGGACACUGCCCGCACCAGCUGGGUCAGAGAACACAAGGUACCUGUGGCUGUGGUUAAAUUUCUGCACCAGCCGCCCGCCAUCGGCAAGCCGAAUUUGGAUGUUUGUGGUGGGCUCUGACUCGUUGAUUGAAAUGGA